AGUGAACGCUGGCGGUAGGCCUAACACAUGCAAGUCGAACGGCAGCACAGUAAGAGCUUGCUCUUACGGGUGGCGAGUGGCGGACGGGUGAGGAAUACAUCGGAAUCUACUUUUUCGUGGGGGAUAACGUAGGGAAACUUACGCUAAUACCGCAUACGACCUACGGGUGAAAGCAGGGGAUCUUCGGACCUUGCGCGAUUGAAUGAGCCGAUGUCGGAUUGGCUAGUUGGCGGGGUAAAGGCCCACCAAGGCGACGAUCCGUAGCUGGUCUGAGAGGAUGAUCAGCCACACUGGAACUGAGACACGGUCCAGACUCCUACGGGAGGCAGCAGUGGGGAAUAUUGGACAAUGGGCGCAAGCCUGAUCCAGCCAUACCGCGUGGGUGAAGAAGGCCUUCGGGUUGUAAAGCCCUUUUGUUGGGAAAGAAAAGCAGCAGGUUAAUACCCCGCUGUUCUGACGUUACCCAAAGAAUAAGCACCGGCUAACUUCGUG
rnacentral:rRNA from 1 species